CAUGCAAGUCGAACGAAGCACUUUAUUUGAUUUCCUUCGGGACUGAUUAUUUUGUGACUGAGUGGCGGACGGGUGAGUAACGCGUGGGUAACCUGCCUUGUACAGGGGGAUAACAGUUGGAAACGGCUGCUAAUACCGCAUAAGCGCACGGCAUCGCAUGAUGCAGUGUGAAAAACUCCGGUGGUAUAAGAUGGACCCGCGUUGGAUUAGCUAGUUGGUGAGGUAACGGCCCACCAAGGCGACGAUCCAUAGCCGACCUGAGAGGGUGACCGGCCACAUUGGGACUGAGACACGGCCCAAACUCCUACGGGAGGCAGCAGUGGGGAAUAUUGCACAAUGGGCGAAAGCCUGAUGCAGCGACGCCGCGUGAGCGAAGAAGUAUUUCGGUAUGUAAAGCUCUAUCAGCAGGGAAGAUAAUGACGGUACCUGACUAAGAAGCACCGGCUAAAUACGUGCCAGCAGCCGCGGUAAUACGUAUGGUGCAAGCGUUAUCCGGAUUUACUGGGUGUAAAGGGAGCGCAGGCGGUGCGGCAAGUCUGAUGUGAAAGCCCGGGGCUCAACCCCGGUACUGCAUUGGAAACUGUCGUACUAGAGUGUCGGAGGGGUAAGCGGAA
rnacentral:rRNA from 1 species